GACGAACGCUGGCGGCGUGCUUAACACAUGCAAGUCGAACGGAAAGGCCCUGCUUUUGUGGGGUGCUCGAGUGUCGAACGGGUGAGUAACACGUGAGUAACCUGCCCUUGACUUUGGGAUAACUUCAGGAAACUGGGGCUAAUACCGGAUAGGAGCUCCUGCUGCAUGGUGGGGGUUGGAAAGUUUCGGCGGUUGGGGAUGGACUCGCGGCUUAUCAGCUUGUUGGUGGGGUAGUGGCUUACCAAGGCUUUGACGGGUAGCCGGCCUGAGAGGGUGACCGGCCACAUUGGGACUGAGAAAAGGCCCAGACUACUACAAGAGGCAGCAGUGGGGAAGAUUGCAAAAUGGGCGGAAGCCUGAUGCAACAACGCCGCGUGCGAGAUGACGGCCUUCGAGUUGUAAACCGCUUUCGCCUGUGACGAAGCGUGAGUGACGGUAAUGGGUAAAGAAGCACAGGCUAACUACGUG
rnacentral:rRNA from 1 species